UACAGAGGGGGCAAGCGUUGUUCGGAAUUACUGGGCGUAAAGGGCGCGUAGGCGGCCCGCUAAGUCGAACGUGAAAUCCCCGAGCUCAACUCGGGAACUGCGUCCGAUACUGGUGGGCUUGAAUCCGGGAGAGGGAUGCGGAAUUCCAGGUGUAGCGGUGAAAUGCGUAGAGAUGUGGAGGAAUACCGAUGGCGAAGGCAGCCCCCUGGGCCAAUACUGACGCUCAUGCACGAAAGCGUGGGGAGCAAACAGG
rnacentral:rRNA from 1 species